rnacentral:rRNA from 1 species
AUGUUGUACGCCCUAGGAGCAAGUGCCGAAUAUGAGGCGCUGAAGAAGGCGGUGGCUGAUGCCCACGAGAAGGCUGCCGCUGAACAGGCGCUUCGUAAAAAACACGAGGCCAGGGUUAUUACAGCUGAGCGGGAGCUCCAGGAGGCUGUGACGAAAAGCGAGAGCUUGGAGCAGAGUCUAGUAGGGAAAGAAUCUGAACUCGCCCAAGCUCUCCAAGCCGCGGAAGAUGCUCGGGAAGAAGCCCGAGGUGCUGUACGGGACAUUCAGGAGACCCGGAAAGUUGCGGCUAGUAAGGCCUGUUGUAUCUAUGGCCAUUAUUACGUGAUAGUGGGGAGAACUCUAAGCGGCAAGCUGAAUUCUUGA